GCACUGCUGUCGAGUUCCAAAUAGGACGAAAUAGCUGUCCAGUGC
rnacentral:hammerhead_ribozyme from 1 species